CAAGAGAAUAAUUAUCCCGAAGAGCUACCAUUAAGCUCUCUCCAGGGAAUCCCCAAAGUCAAGAUCAAAAGCCAGUUGCUUGAGACAUAUUCAGCAUAUCCUACUCCUGGGUAGAAAAAUGACUCAUUGCCUCAGUUAUUAUUUUCUAGCCUUAUUUUAAUGUAGGAAAAUACAGAAAUGAUCUACAGCUAUAAGAAUGUGAAAUAUUCGGGCAUCACUCGGUGUUUCCAUAUGACAAGAUUUAUCAAUCUUUAAAACACUCAAAAGGCUGUGAGAACAAAAACUGUCAAACACAAUCACAGCACCAGGGCUCCACAGUACCAGAAGAAAUUAAGUGAGGAUGUCACCGAGUAAGCUGCUCCUGCUCACACACUCACACCGCCGGAGAAGAAACACUGGGCCUUCCCUGGAAUAUCAUGUGAACGCCAUGAUAAUGAAUUAUCAAUGAUACUUUCUGGUAUCCAGGACAGAUUUAACUUGGAAAGUGACUAAACCAAACAUCCUGAUUCCACAAACCACACAAGAUCAUGGCAGCCAGUCUCAGCACAAGCUAUAAACUCUGUAUCAGAAGCUACUGCAUCCUGAAUGCCUGUUAAAAGACUCUGUAUUUUAUUUUUUGUUGGAAUGAAAAUAAUGAGAAAAUAAAUCUAUUCCAUUAACUGGUGUCUUCAAGUAGAAAGUUUUCUAAUUCCUUGAUUUUACAAAGAACUGCCACCUUUUUUUUUAAUCCUCGUAUUGUUUGCCUGAUAAUAUGUUUUCCUUCCCCUGAUAUCUGAGUCCCUUUCCUGACUCUACAUGCUACCAACCCUUUCUCAGAGAAACUCUUGGUUGGCCAAAAUUCUAUAUGUCUAGACAGUUAGUUUAAUAGACCAGUAGAUAUGUGACAGUAAUCAAAGUUAGCUCUUUCAUUUUACAUAUAGAUAAAUGGAAGAACAAAAUGUCCUACCUAUAUAGUGCUCUACUAUAAUCCUAAGAAGUCUACAAUAUUAUUAUAAUAAAAAAAAUAAAAUUUUAAGAUCUUAAGAAACAAAGUUAGG
rnacentral:lncRNA from 9 species